rnacentral:rRNA from 1 species
CCAGACUCCUACGGGAGGCAGCAGUGGGGAAUAUUGCACAAUGGGGGGAACCCUGAUGCAGCGACGCCGCGUGAGCGAUGAAGUAUUUCGGUAUGUAAAGCUCUAUCAGCAGGGAAGAAAAUGACGGUACCUGACCAAGAAGCCCCGGCUAACUACGUGCCAGCAGCCGCGGUAAUACGUAGGGGGCAAGCGUUAUCCGGAUUUACUGGGUGUAAAGGGAGCGUAGACGGCAGUGCAAGUCCGGAGUGAAAGCCCGGGGCUCAACCCUGGGACUGCUCUGGAAACUGUAAAGCUGGAGUGCGGGAGGGGCAGGCGGAAUUCCUGGUGUAGCGGUGAAAUGCGUAGAUAUCAGGAGGAACACCGGCGGCGAAGGCGGCCUGCUGGACCGUGACUGACGUUGAGGCUCGAGAGCGUGGGGAGCAAACAGGAUUAGAUACCCUGGUAAA